GUAAGAUCUUCCGCAAUGGACGAAGUCUGACGGCAGCGACGCCGCGUGUGUGAUGAAGGCGGAAACGUUGUAAAGCACUUUUCCUGGGGAAGAAUAAGGAGAGGAGGUAAUGCCUCUUCGAUGACACGAACUAGGGAAUAAGCCCCGGCUAAUUACGUGCCAGCAGCCGCGGUAACACAGUAAGGGGCNGAGCGGUUGUUCGGAAUUAUUGGGCGUAAAGGGCGUGUAGGCGGCCUGGUAAGUCUGGUGUGAAAGACCGCAGCUUAACUGCGGGACCGCGCUGGAAACUAUCAGGCUAGAGUCUAAGAGGGGGAACUAGAAUUCCAGGUGUAGGGGUGAAAUCUGUAGAUAUCUGGAAGAAUACCGGAGGCGAAGGCGAGUUCCUGGCUAUAGACUGACGCUGAGGCGCGAAAGCGUGGGGAGCGAACAGGAUUAGAUACCCUGGUAGUCCACGCCGUAAACGUUGUGCACUAGGUGUUGGCCUUAAGGGGUCAGUACCGUAGCAAACGCGAUAAGUGCACCGCCUGGGGAGUAUGCUCGCAAGGGUGAAACUCAAAGGAAUUGACGGGGGCCCGCACAAGCGGUGGAGCAUGUGGUUUAAUUCGAUGAUACGCGAGUAACCUUACCAGGGCUUGACAUCUACUUGACUGCUGNAGAGAUACAGCUUCCNUUCGGGGCANGUANACAGGNGCUGCAUGGCUG
rnacentral:rRNA from 1 species